GAUGAACGCUGGCGGCGUGCCUAAUACAUGCAAGUCGAGCGAACGGACGAGAAGCUUGCUUCUCUGAUGUUAGCGGCGGACGGGUGAGUAACACGUGUAUAACCUACCUAUAAGACUGGGAUAACUUCGGGAAACCGUAGCUAAUACCGGAUAAUAUUUUGAACCGCAUGGUUCAAAAGUGAAAGACGGUCUUGCUGUCACUUAUAGAUGGAUCCGCGCUGCAUUAGCUAGUUGGUAAGGUAACGGCUUACCAAGGCAACGAUGCAUAGCCGACCUGAGAGGGUGAUCGGCCACACUGGAACUGAGACACGGUCCAGACUCCUACGGGAGGCAGCAGUAGGGAAUCUUCCGCAAUGGGCGAAAGCCUGACGGAGCAACGCCGCGUGAGUGAUGAAGGUCUUCGGAUCGUAAAACUCUGUUAUUAGGGAAGAACAUAUGUGUAAGUAACUGUGCACAUCUUGACGGUACCUAAUCAGAAAGCCACGGCUAACUACGUG
rnacentral:rRNA from 1 species